GACGAACGCUGGCGGCGUGCUUAACACAUGCAAGUCGAACGAUGAAGCCGGAGCUUGCUCUGGUGAAUUAGUGGCGAACGGGUGAGUAACACGUGAGUAACCUGCCCUUGACUCUGGGAUAACUGCGGGAAACUGUAGCUAAUACCGGAUACGACCCUCGGAGGCAUCUCCUGGGGGUGGAAAGAAUUUCGGUCAAGGAUGGACUCGCGGCCUAUCAGCUAGUUGGUGAGGUAAAGGCUCACCAAGGCGACGACGGGUAGCCGGCCUGAGAGGGUGACCGGCCACACUGGGACUGAGACACGGCCCAGACUCCGACGGGGGGCAGCAGUGGGGAAUAUUGCACAAUGGGCGCAAGCCUGAUGCAGCAACGCCGCGUGAGGGAUGACGGCCUUCGGGUUGUAAACCCCUUUUAGCAGGGAAGAAGCGAAAGUGACGGUACCUGCAGAAAAAGCACCGGCUAACUACGUGCCAGCAGCCGCGGUAA
rnacentral:rRNA from 1 species